UUUUUUUGGAUGAGAACUGUUUUCCGCACCUUUGGAAAUACAAACAAACAAAGGUGGGAAAACAUUUCUCAUCUAAACAAU
rfam:Medicago truncatula strain A17 chromosome 1, whole genome shotgun sequence.